rnacentral:rRNA from 1 species
GCAGUGGGGAAUAUUGCACAAUGGGCGCAAGCCUGAUGCAGCCAUGCCGCGUGUAUGAAGAAGGCCUUCGGGUUGUAAAGUACUUUCAGCGGGGAGGAAGGCGUUGUGGUUAAUAACCACAGCGAUUGACGUUACCCGCAGAAGAAGCACCGGCUAACUCCGUGCCAGCAGCCGCGGUAAUACGGAGGGUGCAAGCGUUAAUCGGAAUUACUGGGCGUA